GUCGCUCUGUUUCGUGUCGGACGCGAUGAUGUACACGUGUGUUUGGACAGUGUCGCCAUAGUUAGCUACGAACUAGACCUGCAAGGUGAAGCAUCAACUCCAGUGCAAUCAUGUGACAAGCUGCAACGCUUUCAGAGUGAAAACCGGCUCUAAAUUUGUGUGACAUUAUAUCUUUGGUGCGGGGAGUGUUAUAAAAAUGGCGUACGAAGGUGCUGCGCAAGAAAUAACAGUGCAAUAGCAGAGGAAUCGAGAAAACACUUACAGCAGUCAUGAAAGAGGACGAGAAUCAACCAUCAGAUGUAAUUCCACGAGUGUAAUACCUCUUCUCUUUGGAAACCUGCCUAAUGGAGCUGUACUCAAAGAACAAAGUACCUCCGUCUAUUAAACUGAAAACGU